AUUAGUGAUUAUGAAAGGUUGUCUUCUGUGCUGGCUGCGGCAAGUGCACGUUGGUAACUUUCAUCCAACACCCUUGUGAACCUUUGGCCUCUUGCUGGCUUCGGCUGGCUGAGGAUUUACACAAACUCGCAUGUAUUGAGGACCCUUCAUGUGCGCAAGCACUAAUAUACAACUUUCAACAACGGAUCUCUUGGCUCUCGCAUCGAUGAAGAACGCAGCGAAAUGCGAUAAGUAAUGUGAAUUGCAGAAUUCAGUGAAUCAUCGAAUCUUUGAACGCACCUUGCACCCUUUGGCAUUCCGAAGGGUAUGCUCGUUUGAGUGUCAUUGUACUCUCACACUCCCAAUUACUUUGGAUUGGGAGCGGUGGACUUGGAUGUUGCUGCUUGACUGUGGCUCAUCUGAAAUAUGUUAGUGCACCUCUUGAUUGGACAUAGUACGGCGUGAUAAGUGUCUUCGCCGGCUCCUCGCAAAGAGGGUGGCCGAUCGGGAGCUCUGUUGCUUCAAACUGUCUUCGGACAAUCUUCUGGCGACUUGACCUCAAAUCGAGUAGGACUACCCGCUGAACUUAAGCAUAUCAA
rnacentral:rRNA from 1 species